AAACGACUCUCGGCAACGGAUAUCUCGGCUCUCGCAUCGAUGAAGAACGUAGCGAAAUGCGAUACUUGGUGUGAAUUGCAGAAUCCCGUGAACCAUCGAGUCUUUGAACGCAAGUUGCGCCCGAAGCCAUUAGGCCGAGGGCACGCCUGCCUGGGCGUCACACGCCGUCGCCCCCCCAACCGAUCCCUCGGGAUUGCGGGGGGCGGAUGAUGGCCUCCCGCGCGCCCCGUCGCGCGGUUGGCAUAAAUGCCCAGUCCUCGGCGGCGCACGCCACGACAAUCGGUGGUUGCGAGACCUCGGUUGCCCGUCGUGCGCGGUCGCCGCGCAUCGAGGGCUCGAAAAAACGCCCGGCUCCGGCUCGGCUUUCAACGCGACCCCAGGUCAGGCGGGGUUACCCGCUGAAUUUAAGCAUAUCAAUAAGCGGAGGAAAAGAAACUUACGAGGAUUCCCCUAGUAACGGCGAGCGAACCGGGAACAGCCC
rnacentral:rRNA from 1 species